CCUACGGGUGGCAGCAGUGAGGAAUAUUGGUCAAUGGGCGCGAGUCUGAACCAGCCAAGCCGCGUGAAGGAUGACUGCUCUAUGGGUUGUAAACUUCUUUUAUACAGGAAUAAACUCAGGCACGUGUGCCUUUUUGUAAGUAAUUUAUGAAUAAGGAUCGGCUAACUCCGUGCCAGCAGCCGCGGUAAUACGGAGGAUCCGAGCGUUAUCCGGAUUUAUUGGGUUUAAAGGGUGCGUAGAUGGGUUGAUAAGUUAGUUGUGAAAUUUUGGGGCUCAACCGUGAAAUUGCAAUUGAUACUGGUGGCCUUGAGUAUAGUUGAGGUAGGCGGAAUGUGUGGUGUAGCGGUGAAAUGCUUAGAUAUCACGAAGAACACCGAUUGCGAAGGCAGCUUACUAAACUGCCACUGACAUUGAUGCUCGAAAGUGUGGGUAGCAAACAGGAUUAGAUACCCCAGUAGUC
rnacentral:rRNA from 1 species